UACAGAGGUCCCGAGCGUUGUUCGGAAUCACUGGGCUUAAAGGGCGCGUAGGCGGGGUCAUAAGUCUGUGGUGAAAUCCUCCGGCUCAACCGGAGAACUGCCUCGGAUACUGUGGCUCUCGAGGGUGGUAGGGGUAUGCGGAACUAUCGGUGGAGCGGUGAAAUGCGUUGAUAUCGAUAGGAACUCCGGUGGCGAAGGCGGCAUACUGGACCACUUCUGACGCUGAGGCGCGAAAGCCAGGGGAGCAAACGGG
rnacentral:rRNA from 1 species